rnacentral:rRNA from 1 species
UACGGAGGGUGCAAACGUUGCUCGGAAUCAUUGGGCGUAAAGCGCACGUAGGCGGUCCGGCAAGUCGGAUGUGAAAUCCCUCGGCUCAACCGAGGAAGUGCAUUCGAAACUGCCAGACUUGAGUAUGGAAGAGGGUCGCGGAAUUCCCGGUGUAGAGGUGAAAUUCGUAGAUAUCGGGAGGAACACCAGUGGCGAAGGCGGCGACCUGGGCCAAUACUGACGCUGAGGCGCGAAAGCUAGGGGAGCGAACGUG